GAUGAACGCUGGCGGCGCGCCUAACACAUGCAAGUCGAACGAUUAAAGCACCUUCGGGUGUGUAUAAAGUGGCGAACGGCUGAGUAACACGUGGGCAACCUGCCCCUCUCACUGGGAUAGCCACGGGAAACCGUGGAUAAUACCGAAUACUUCGGGACUUCCGCAUGGAAGACUCGAGAAAGCUCCGGCGGAGAGGGAUGGGCCCGCGGCCUGUUAGCUUGUUGGUGGGGUAAUGGCCUACCGAGGCAAUGAUGGGUAGCUGGGUUGAGAGACCGACCAGCCAGAUUGGGACUGAGACACGGCCCAGACUCCUACGGGAGGCAGCAGUGGGGAAUCUUGCACAAUGGGCGAAAGCCUGAUGCAGCGACGCCGCGUGCGGGAUGAAGGCCUUCGGGUUGUAAACCGCUUUCAGCAGGGACGAGGCGAAAGUGACGGUACCUGCAGAAGAAGCCCCGGCUAACUACGUG
rnacentral:rRNA from 1 species